rnacentral:rRNA from 1 species
GAUGAACGCUGGCGGCGUGCCUAAUACAUGCAAGUCGAGCGAACAGAUGAGGAGCUUGCUCCUCUGACGUUAGCGGCGGACGGGUGAGUAACACGUGGAUAACCUACCUAUAAGACUGGGAUAACUUCGGGAAACCGGAGCUAAUACCGGAUAAUAUAUUGAACCGCAUGGUUCAAUAGUGAAAGACGGUUUUGCUGUCACUUAUAGAUGGAUCCGCGCCGCAUUAGCUAGUUGGUAAGGUAACGGCUUACCAAGGCAACUAUGCGUAGCCGACCUGAGAGGGUGAUCGGCCACACUGGAACUGAGACACGGUCCAGACUCCUACGGGAGGCAGCAGUAGGGAAUCUUCCGCAAUGGGCGAAAGCCUGACGGAGCAACGCCGCGUGAGUGAUGAAGGUCUUCGGAUCGUAAAACUCUGUUAUUAGGGAAGAACAAAUGUGUAAGUAACUAUGCACGUCUUGACGGUACCUAAUCAGAAAGCCACGGCUAACUACGUG